AGCGAACGUUUGCGGCGGGCUUAACACAUGCAAGUCGAACGGGCUGUUCCUUCGGGGGCAGUCAGUGGCGCACGGGUGCGUAACACGUAGGUAAUCAACCCUCUGGUUGGGGAUAACACUUCGAAAGGAGUGCUAAUACCCGGUAUGGCGCAGCGGUCUUCGGAUCGCGGCGAGAAAGACCCGCAAGGGUUGCCAGAGGACGAGCCUGCGGCCCAUCAGCUAGUUGGCGAGAUAACGGCUCACCAAGGCGAAGACGGGUAGCUGGUCUGAGAGGAUGAUCAGCCACACUGGAACUGAGACACGGUCCAGACUCCUACGGGAGGCAGCAGUGGGGAAUAUUGCGCAAUGGGCGAAAGCCUGACGCAGCCACGCCGCGUGGGGGAUGAAGGUCUUCGGAUUGUAAACCCUUUCGGAGGGAGAUGGAGCGAGCAAUCGUUCGGACGGUACCUCCGAGAAGCAGCCACGGCCAACUUCGUGCCAGCAGCCGCGGU
rnacentral:rRNA from 1 species